UACGUAGGGGGCAAGCGUUGUCCGGAAUCAUUGGGCGUAAAGCGCACGUAGGCGGCUCGUUAAGUCGGAUGUGAAAGCCCUCGGCUCAACCGAGGAAGUGCAUACGAAACUGGCGAGCUUGAAUAUGGAAGAGGGUCGCGGAAUUCCCGGUGUAGAGGUGAAAUUCGUAGAUAUCGGGAGGAACACCAGUGGCGAAGGCGGCGACCUGGGCCAAUAUUGACGCUGAGGUGCGAAAGCGUGGGGAGCAAACAGG
rnacentral:rRNA from 1 species